rnacentral:rRNA from 1 species
AACGAACGCUGGCGGCAUGCCUAACACAUGCAAGUCGAACGAGACCUUCGGGUCUAGUGGCGCACGGGUGCGUAACGCGUGGGAACCUGCCUUUAGGUUCGGAAUAACUCAGAGAAAUUUGAGCUAAUACCGGAUGAUGUCUUCGGACCUAAGAUUUAUCGCCUUUAGAUGGGCCCGCGUUGGAUUAGCUAGUUGGUGGGGUAAAGGCCUACCAAGGCGACGAUCCAUAGCUGGUCUGAGAGGAUGAUCAGCCACACUGGGACUGAGACACGGCCCAGACUCCUACGGGAGGCAGCAGUGGGGAAUAUUGGACAAUGGGCGAAAGCCUGAUCCAGCAAUGCCGCGUGAGUGAUGAAGGCCUUAGGGUUGUAAAGCUCUUUUACCCGAGAUGAUAAUGACAGUAUCGGGAGAAUAAGCUCCGGCUAACUCCGUG